AACGCUGGCGGCGUGCCUAACACAUGCAAGUCGAACGGAGAGGACAUGAAGUAUUUCGGUACGGAAUGCUCUCUUAGUGGCGAACGGGUGAGUAACACGUGGGCAACCUGCCCCAGACUGGGGGAUAACAUUGUGAAAACAGUGCUAAUACCGCAUGACAGGGUUCCGGGCAUCCGGGACCCUUGAAAGGAGAAAUCCGGUCAGGGAUGGGCCCGCGUCCAAUUAGCUAGUUGGCGGGGUAACGGCCCACCAAGGCGACGAUUGGUAGCCGAACUGAGAGGUUGAUCGGCCACAUUGGGACUGAGACACGGCCCAGACUCCUACGGGAGGCAGCAGUGGGGAAUAUUGGGCAAUGGGCGAAAGCCUGACCCAGCGACGCCGCGUGAAGGAUGAAGGUCUUCGGAUUGUAAACUUCUUUGAUCAGGGAAGAAAGAAAUGACGGUACCUGAAAAACAAGCCACGGCUAACUACGUG
rnacentral:rRNA from 1 species